rnacentral:rRNA from 1 species
GUCCCAGUUCGGAUUGUAGUCUGCAACCGACUACAUGAAGCUGGAAUCGCUAGUAAUCGCGGAUCAGAAUGCCGCGGUGAAUACGUUCCCGGGUCUUGUACACACCGCCCGUCACACCAUGGGAGUCGGAAAUGCCCGAAGUCUGUGACCCAACCGCGAGGAGGGAGCAGCCGAAGGCAGGUCGGAUGACUGGGGUGAAGUCGUAACAAGGUAGC